rnacentral:piRNA from 1 species
UCAAAAGUCUUGCUAAAGGAAACUCUGAUA